CACGUGAUGGAGGUCGAGAAGUCAGCAGAAGCUAUAGUAGCUACUGGUAAUGAGCCGGUUCAAUUAGCCGGAGGUCUCACAAGGUAGUGAAGGGC
rnacentral:ncRNA from 1 species